GCGCAAAUAUUUCAAUGGUAGAAAUUGAGUCCUCCAAACUCAAAAUGGCGGUUCGAUUCCGUCUUUGCGCA